AUUGAACGCUGGCGGCAUGCCUUACACAUGCAAGUCGAACGGCAGCACGGGUGCUUGCACCUGGUGGCGAGUGGCGAACGGGUGAGUAAUAUAUCGGAACGUACCUUAUUGUGGGGGAUAACGCAGCGAAAGCUGUGCUAAUACCGCAUAAUCCCUAAGGGGGAAAGCGGGGGACCGUAAGGCCUCGCGCAAUUAGAGCGGCCGAUACCUGAUUAGCUAGUUGGUGAGGUAAAGGCUCACCAAGGCAACGAUCAGUAGCUGGUCUGAGAGGACGAUCAGCCACACUGGGACUGGGACACGGCCCAGACUCCUACGGGAGGCAGCAGUGGGGAAUUUUGGACAAUGGGGGCAACCCUGAUCCAGCAAUGCCGCGUGAGUGAAGAAGGCCUUCGGGUUGUAAAGCUCUUUUGUCAGGGAAGAAACAGCAGCUCUAACACAGUAUGCGAAUGACGGUACCUGAAGAAUGAGCACCGGCUAACUACGUGCCAGCCGCCGCAGUAA
rnacentral:rRNA from 1 species